CACACCUCCUGUGAUCUUCAUUGUUGAUCAGGGCUCUGGGGCCCGGGCCGCGUUCAAAAACGGCUCGCCCCUAAUGUGGCACGCUUGCGGACCUCCGGUCAGUGAUCGACGUAGUAAACUCGAGAGAGGCUCGUGGAGAAACUGCCGGAUGGCUCAUUUUCGCCUGAAAUCAAACUCAUCUUCUAUG
rnacentral:misc_RNA from 2 species